CAAUCCAGGCUGGGGAACAGAGUGAGACCGUGUCUCAAAAAAAAAAAAGGGGGGGGCCUGACAUACAGUAGGUGCUUAUUAACUAGUAUUAGGGAGCACUGUGGCACCAUCUGCUUGUGUGUGUGAAGGAAAGCUGGAAGGAUGUGGUCCCUUGGCAUCUUCCCCUCAGCCAGGCUUCAUUAUGGCCCAAGAACCACGAUGAGGCUGGAAAUGAGGCUGGAAAUGGAGGCAGCACUUGCCUGUCCCUGCCCAAUUUCUCCUGUGGAGGAGGACUAGAUGGCACACAGAGGAGUCCAAUUUCAAUCCGCCACAUUUCCACCUGGGGCAAACUUUAUAUUCUGCCUGUCCCAAUCCAACCAACCAUGAGAGCAAACUGUUGAGCCAAGACAUCACUGCUGGUCCCAAAGGACUGCCGGUGUCCCGUCACCACGUUGGUCAACAGGACCCGCCGAGACAAGCCUGGUGGAGACAGAGAUGGGCUGGGACCAGGCACAGGACCAGGCACCAGGGAUCCGGAAGCUGCAGAGCAUGCCAGGCCGGUCUAUUCCUGCUAAGAGAUUGGAGAAUGUAAGGUGGGGCUACCCUUUAGGCGGGCCAGGGACCACCGGGUUUGCAAAACAUCCAAAUAUGCGAUCGCUGCUCAGAAGGUCUAUCCCUUUGACCCCAUUCUGGGUUUUGUGGUUGCAAGAGAGGGAGACUCAGCUGGGAUGCCCGGCUUGCAAGCGGUCAUUCUGAAAAUGAAUGUGUGUAACAUUCUCAGUAGUUGUGUUCGCAGUACUAAUACUACUGAUAAUCCGGGAGGUAGUAUGCUGUCGCAGGUUAGGGGGUUCCAAUCCUCCAUCACCUAUCAGCUACGUGAUCUCAAGCAAAGUGU